GUGUCCCCAGGUAGCGCUGAGCCCAGCAGGCAGUGCUGUGCCAAUCUGGCUGCUCUGUUGUGCAGGGCUGUGCUCCCAGGGUGUGC
ensembl:miRNA gga-mir-1644 gga-mir-1644